rnacentral:tRNA from 2 species
AGAAACUUAAGUUAUACUAAACUAGGAGCCUUCAAAGCCCCCAAAAAAGGUCACUUUAGUUUCUG